AUACGGAGGGUGCAAGCGUUAUCCGGAUUCAUUGGGUUUAAAGGGUUCGCAGGCGGCGUAUUAAGUCAGUGGUGAAAUCCCGAGGCUCAACCUCGGAACUGCCAUUGAUACUGGUAUGCUAGAGUAUAGUUGGCGUUGGCGGAAUGUAUCAUGUAGCGGUGAAAUGCUUAGAUAUGAUACAGAACACCGAUCGCGAAGGCAGCUGACGAAACUAUAACUGACGCUCAGGAACGAAAGCGUGGGGAGCGAACAGGAUUAGAAACCCCAGUAGUCC
rnacentral:rRNA from 1 species